GUAGGGGAGACUGGAAUUNCUGGUGUAGCGGUGGAAUGCGCAGAUAUCAGGAGGAACACCGAUGGCGAAGGCAGGUCUNUGGGCUGUAACUGACGCUGAGAAGCGAAAGCAUGGGGAGCGAACAGGAUUAGAUACCCUGGUAGUCCAUGCCGUAAACGUUGGNCACUAGGUGUGGGGGACAUUNCACGUUUUCCGCGCCGUAGCUAACGCAUUAAGUGCCCCGCCUGGGGAGUACGGCCGCAAGGCUAAAACUCAAAGAAAUUGACGGGGGCCCGCACAAGCGGCGGAGCAUGCGGAUUAAUUCGAUGCAACGCGAAGAACCUUACCAAGGCUUGACAUAUACUGGACUGCGUCAGAGAUGGCGUUUCCCUUCGGGGCUGGUAUACAGGUGGUGCGUGGUUGUCGUCAGCUCGUGUCGUGAGAUGUUGGGUUAAGUCCCGCAACGAGCGCAACCCUCGUUCUAUGUUGCCAGCACGUGAUGGUGGGGACUCAUAGGAGACUGCCGGGGUCAACUCGGAGGAAGGUGGGGAUGACGUCAAAUCAUCAUGCCCCUUAUGUCUUGGGCUUCACGCAUGCUACAAUGGCCGGUACAGAGGGUUGCGAUACUGUGAGGUGGAGCUAAUCCCUAAAAGCCGGUCUCAGUUCGGAUUGGGGUCUGCAACUCGACCCCAUGAAGUCGGAGUCGCUAGUAAUCGCAGAUCAGCAACGCUGCGGUGAAUACGUUCCCGGGCCUUGUACACACCGCCCGUCAAGUCACGAAAGUUGGUAACACCCGAAGCCGGUGGCCUAACCCUGGUGGG
rnacentral:rRNA from 1 species